rnacentral:rRNA from 1 species
CUACGGGUUGCUUCAGUGAGGAAUAUUGGACAAUGGGAGGAAUCCUGAUCCAGCCAUGCCGCGUGAAGGAAGACAGUCCUAUGGAUUGUAAACUUCUUUUGUAUGGGGGCAAUAAUCGCUACGCGUAGUGAGAUGAGAGUACCAUACGAAUAAGCAUCGGCUAACUCCGUGCCAGGCAGCCGCGGUAAUACGGAGGAUGCGAGCGUUAUCCGGAUUUAUUGGGUUUAAAGGGUGCGUAGGCUGUUAUUUAAGUCAGCGGUGAAAAGUUGAUGCUCAACAUCAAUCGUGCCGUUGAAACUGAGUGACUAGAAUUAGGAUGCUGUUAGCGGAAUGUGUGGUGUAGCGGUGAAAUGCAUAGAUAUCACACAGAACACCGAUUGCGAAGGCAGCUAACAAAGGCUAAAUUGACGCUGAUGCACGAAAGUGUGGGGAUCAAACAGGAUUAGAUACCCGUGUAGUC